GAUGAAGAACGUAGCGAAAUGCGAUACGUAAUGUGAAUUGCAGAUUUCAGUGAAUCAUCGAAUCUUUGAACGCACAUUGCGCCCGCUAGUAUUCUGGCGGGCAUGCCUGUUCGAGCGUCAUUUCAACCAUCAAGCCCUAGGCUUGCGUUGGAGCCCUGCGGCUGCCGCAGGCUCCCAAAUCCAGUGGCGGGCUCGUCGUCGUACCGAGUGCAGUAAACAUCCUCGCUCAGGGAACGUGACGGGUUCUUGCCGUGAAACCCCCCACAUAUCAAGGUUGACCUCGGAUCAGGUAGGAAUACCCGCUGAACUUAAGCAUAUCAAUAAGCGGAGG
rnacentral:misc_RNA from 1 species